rnacentral:rRNA from 1 species
CGCAUGAGACCGAGAGGUGAAAGCGGGGUCGCAAGAUCUCGCGCUGAAGGAGGGGUCCGCGUCCGAUUAGCUAGUUGGUGGGGUAAUGGCCUACCAAGGCGACGAUCGGUAGCCGGCCUGAGAGGGUGAUCGGCCACACUGGAACUGAGACACGGUCCAGACUCCUACGGGAGGCAGCAGUGGGGAAUUUUGCGCAAUGGGCUAACGCCUGACGCAGCAACGCCGCGUGGAGGAUGAAGGUCUUUGGAUUGUAAACUCCUGUCAGCAGGGAAAAAGGGAGGCGACCUAAUACGUCGUUGACUUGAUUGUACCUGCAGAGGAAGCCCCGGCUAACUCUGUGCCAGCAGCCGCGGUAAUACAGAGGGGGCAAGCGUU